GCCAGCGUAGCUCAGGGGUAGAGCAACUGAUUCGUAAUCAGUAGGUCCGCGGUUCAAUUCCGCGCGUUGGCU
rnacentral:tRNA from 1 species